UACGUAGGCAGCAAGCGUUGUUCGGAGUUACUGGGCGUAAAGGGUGCGUAGGCGGCUUCUUAAGUCUGGUGUGAAAUCUCCCGGCUCAACUGGGAGGGUGCGCCGGAUACUGAGGGGCUAGAGUGUGGGAGAGGAAAGUGGAAUUCCAGGUGUAGCGGUGAAAUGCGUAGAUAUCUGGAGGAACACCGGUGGCGAAGGCGGCAUCCUGGACCAACACUGACACUGAGGAGCGAAAGCCAGGGGAGCAAACGGG
rnacentral:rRNA from 1 species